UAAAGCAAAGAAGAGCGCAGAGUGAAUGCCUUGGCAUUGAGAGCCGAAGAAGGACGUGGUUAACUGCGAUAAGCAGCGGGGAGUUGUAAGCAAGCAUUGAUCCGCUGAUUUCCGAAUGGAGCAAUCCGCAUGAAGUAGUUCAUGCAUCCAUAUGUGAAUCAAUAGCAUAUGGAGGGGAACCGCCUGAACUGAAACAUCUAAGUAGGGCGAGGAAGAGAAAUCAACCGAGAUUCCGUAAGUAGUGGCGAGCGAACGCGGAAGAGGCCAAACCGAGAGAAGAAAUUCUUUCGGGGUUCGGACUGCAUUUAGCAUUCCUGAUCUUUAGUCGAACAGUCUGGGAAGGCUGACGAGAGAGUGUGAGAGUCACGUAGACGAAAAGGAGAAGGAGCGAGCAGGAUCCAGAGUACCGCGGGGCACGUGAAAUCCCGUGGGAAGAUGGGGGGACCACCCUCCAAGCCUAAAUACUACUCAAUGACCGAUAGCGUAUAGUACUGUGAAGGAACGGUGAAAAGAACCCCGGGAGGGGAGUGAAAAGAACCUGAAACUCUGUGCUUACAAGCACAUAGAGCACGUCAAUGUGUGAUAUGGUACCUUUUGUAGAAUGGUCCGGCGAGUUAUGGUAUGCAGCAUGGUUAAGGACUUGAGGUCUGAAGCCGAAGCGAGAGCGAGUCUGACAAGGGCGAUAAGUUGUAUGCCAUAGACCCGAAACCGGGUGACCUAGCCAUGUCCAGGCUGAAGUGGAGGUAAAACUCCAUGGAGGGCCGAACCGACCUCCGUUGAAAAGGCGGCGGAUGAGAUGUGGCUAGCGGAGAAAUUCCAAUCGAACCCGGAUAUAGCUGGUUCUCCCCGAAAUAGCUUUAGGGCUAGCGUUGUAUUAGAUUACCGGAGGUAAAGCACUGAAUGGGCUAGGGGCUGAGAAGUUACUGAACCCUAUCAAACUAAGAAUGCCGGAUAAUUGAUGUACAGCAGUCAGACUAUGUGAGAUAAGUCUCAUAGUCAAAAGGGAAACAGCCCAGACCCACAGCUAAGGUCCCAAAAUGGAUUUAAGUGGAAAAGGAUGUGGAAUUGCACAGACAACCAGGAUGUUGGCUUAGAAGCAGCCACUCAUUAAAAGAGUGCGUAAUAGCUCACUGGUCGAGUGACUCUGCGCCGAAAAUUCAACGGGGCUAAAAUUCAUACCGAAGCUUGGGCUUGACAGUAAUGUCAGGGGUAGGGGAGCGUCGUAUACGAGGUGAAGUCAUAGCGGAAGCGGUGGUGGAUUGUAUACGAGUGAGAAUGCCGGAAUGAGUAGCGAGAAUUAUGUGAGAAUCAUAAUGGCCGAAAGUCUAAGGUUUCCUGAGGAAGGUUCGUCCUCUCAGGGUUAGCCGGGAGCUAAGGUGAGGCGGAAACGCGUAGCCGAUGCACAUACGGUAGAAAUUCCGUAGCCUCCGAAGAUUUAAGCACAGGGACACUUUUGAAGGACUGAGCCGGGCGUUGGUUGCCCCGGUCGAAAGGGACACGAGUGAGUGGAAGUCAGUUUGGAAAGAGGCGAGAAAAGCUGUGUGUAUAUGGAAGGAGCCCGUACCGCAAACCGACACAGGUAGACAGGAAGAAGAUUCUAAGGCCAGCGGGAGAAGGGUUGUUAAGGAACUCGGCAAGUUGACCCCGUAACUUCGGGAGAAGGGGUGCUUACGAAGGUAAGCCGCAGAGAAUAGGCCCAAGCGACUGUUUAGCAAAAACACAGCUCUAUGCUAAAUCGAAAGAUGACGUAUAUGGGGUGACACCUGCCCGGUGCUGGAAGGUUAAGAGGAGAUGUGAGAGCAUUGAAUUGAAGCCCCAGUAAACGGCGGCCGUAACUAUAACGGUCCUAAGGUAGCGAAAUUCCUUGUCAGGUAAGUUCUGACCCGCACGAAUGGUGUAACGAUUUGGGCACUGUCUCAACAACCCACCCGGCGAAAUUGUAGUACCGGUGAAGAUGCCGGUUACCCGCGACUAGACGGAAAGACCCCAUGGAGCUUCACUGCAGCUUAAUAUUGGAUUUCGGUAUUUCAUGUACAGGAUAGGUGGGAGACUGGGAAAUACAGGCGUCAGCUUGUAUGGAGUCAUUGUUGGGAUACCACUCUUGAGGUGCUGGAAUUCUAACCUGUGGCCUUGAAUCAGGUCAGGGGACAUUGUUAGGCGGGCAGUUUGACUGGGGCGGUCGCCUCCUAAAAGGUAACGGAGGCGCUCAAAGGUUCGCUCAGCAUGGACGGAAACCAUGCCAGAGAGUGCAAACGCAUAAGCGAGCCUAACUGCGAGACUGACGGGUCGAGCAGUAACGAAAGUUGGAGUUAGUGAUCCGGCGGUAUAUGUGAGUGGAAAUGCCGUCGCUCAACGGAUAAAAGCUACCCUGGGGAUAACAGGCUGAUCUCCCCCAAGAGUCCACAUCGACGGGGAGGUUUGGCACCUCGAUGUCGGCUCAUCGCAUCCUGGGGCUGUAUUCGGUCCCAAGGGUUUGGCUGUUCGCCAAUUAAAGCGGUACGCGAGCUGGGUUCAGAACGUCGUGAGACAGUUCGGUCCCUAUCUGUCGUGGGCGUUGGAGAUUUGAAAGGAGCUGUCCCUAGUACGAGAGGACCGGGAUGGACGCACCUCUGGUGCACCAGUUGUCACGCCAGUGGCACAGCUGGGCAGCUAUGUGCGGAACGGAUAAACGCUGAAAGCAUCUAAGCGUGAAGCCGCCCUUAAGAUAAGAUCUCCUUUAAGACCCCUUGUAGACUACGAGGUUGAUAGGUCUGAUGUGUAAGCAUGGUGACAUGUUUAGCUUGCAGAUACUAAUCGGUCGUUCGCUUUUCCUU
rnacentral:rRNA from 1 species